UCAAACACUCUUAACUCACGUUGAUUUUCAGCCCACACACAACUCACACACACUAACACCUAAAACACACACACCAUUCACGCAUAUACCAUUUUUAGCUUGAGCUCAAGCUUUUGAGCUCCGAUUUGAGCACCGAGAUGAACGCCGAUCAUCUUUUCGAUCACGUAUCUAAGUAGGUCCUUUUGGGAAGUAACGACUUGAGGGAGAGAGUGACGUUACUCAUUGAUACAGAGACACAACGAGGUUGAGCUGAUGUGAUGAUGGUGCUGCAAUGAGCGGAGUCUCCAGGGUUGUUAAUAAAUAGUUAACCUGUCUAGAAUAUGUCUUCAUACAUAUGUCUAGCUACUUUCCGCUGCAAGAUGUUGUUGAUGUUAUAGUAUGUUAUGUCAUACUUUAAGUCUUAAGAGAAUGGUUUCAUACGAUGUAUAACUUGAUUAAUGAUAUUAAUUAAGUUUUAUGCUGUCUUUCAUAGACUGUUCUCAAUUGAGUAUUAAUGAA